GCUGUUCUGGCCAGGCUUCCAGAACCUUUAAUUCAGAAUCAGAAUAAAUUUAUAGAAAACUAAACUACUGCAUCGAUUUUCUUCAAACUUUUUGUGUAAACUUAGGGUAAUUUAUCUCAGCGUUUAGGACCACCACAACAUCAUUAUUAGUUGUCUGUUGACAGUCUGUGGCUCUCUGCUGUGUCUUUGUGUUUACUAGAGGUGUGCGUCGUUUAAACGUUCUACAUCGGUUAAAACAUUUUAUAUGUUCAAUGUGAAAUAAUAUUUGACACUUUCAGUAUUUAGAAAACAACAAAAGAAACUGCACACAAAGCCUUUUGGUAUUUGCUGAAAGAAGAGGAUCCUCCAAAAUAUGAGAAAGCCCUUACACUGCUUGAAGAAAUCAAAGAAGUAGUGGCUGCUGUCCUUAUUGUUACCCCAUCAGACCAGAACUCUAAAAAAAAUCAAGGAUAAGUUAGGCACAGUGCACAGAUCUGAUAAGGCCACAAAUUGAAGCGGAAACUCAAGAUUUGCAUGAAUAGUUAUUCACAGUAUGGCAAGACUAUGCGGUGAUGCGAUACAGUAUCGCAGCCUGUAGUGUAGAAUAUAUACGAACGAAGUAAAUUCGAAGAUUAUCUCAAGAUAACUCUUGAUGGAUUCCGACAUACCCGAGAGUGGCUGCAUUGCAAUCGAAAAGAAACUUCGCAGCACUCAGUCAGUUCCUCCAACGCUAUCACCUCGGUCGAGCGAUCCGCAAACGGGCGAAUGGAAGUUGGUUGUGCCAAUGUCCAAGCGGUGAUGCGACGUUGGUGUUGCUGUUCUUAGCGAUUUAUUGCUAUGCCUAUGUCGUUGGUGGCCAUGACGGUCAGUCGUAUAUCUAAAUAGCAAAGAACACUUCGAUCCUCAAACCAAUUUAGUCGUCUGAGGUAGCGCCCACAUGGCGCACGUGUGUCGGUGUAGCUGUUCUCUAUGGUUAUAUGUAUGCCGUUGGGGCCAGGAUGGCGUCAGUUGUCUUAACUAUGUUGAACGCUACGAUCCAAAAGAAAAUAAAUGGAGUAAAGUCGCCUCUAUGAACACUCGUCGAUUAGUUGUAGCUGUUGCCGUCCUGGGUGGAUACGUGUGAGUGGGUCAGAUGGCCAGAUUCCUCUUAAAACUAUGGAAAAAUAUGAUCCACGUCAGAACAAAUGGACUUUGGUUGCUCCAAUGUCGUUGUCGUUGUCGUACAAGAAAAAAGCAGUUGGGUUGCGCCGUGUACAACAACUGAAUCUAUGCCGUAGGUGGACGAGACGACGCCACUGAACUCUCGUCAGCUGAGAGCUGCAAUCCUAACACCAACACAUGCCAGUCCCAUAUUGAUUUGUCUUAUAAUGUGGCCAUUUCGAAUGUUAUGUUAUUUUAAUUCAUUUUGCAGAGUUAUUCACAGUAUGGCAAGACUAUGCGGUGAUGCGAUACAGUAUCGCAGCCUGUAGUGUAGAAUAUAUACGAACGAAGUAAAUUCGAAGAUUAUCUCAAGAUAACUCUUGAUGGAUUCCGACAUACCCGAGAGUGGCUGCAUUGCAAUCGAAAAGAAACUUCGCAGCACUCAGUCAGUUCUUCCAACGCUAUCACCUCGGUCGAGCACGGGCGAAUGGAAGUUGGUUGUGCCAAUGUCCAAGCGGUGAUGCGACGUUGGUGUUGCUGUUCUUAGCGAUUUAUUGCUAUGCCUAUGUCGUUGGUGGCCAUGACGGUCAGUCGUAUAUCUAAAUAGCAAAGAACACUUCGAUCCUCAAACCAAUUUAGUCGUCUGAGGUAGCGCCCACAUGGCGCACGUGUGUCGGUGUAGCUGUUCUCUAUGGUUAUAUGUAUGCCGUUGGGGCCAGGAUGGCGUCAGUUGUCUUAACUAUGUUGAACGCUACGAUCCAAAAGAAAAUAAAUGGAGUAAAAUCGCCUCUAUGAACACUCGUCGAUUAGUUGUAGCUGUUGCCGUCCUGGGUGGAUACGUGUGAGUGGGUCAGAUGGCCAGAUUCCUCUUAAAACUAUGGAAAAAUAUGAUCCACGUCAGAACAAAUGGACUUUGGUUGCUCCAAUGUCGUUGUCGUUGUCGUACAAGAAAAAAGCAGUUGGGUUGCGCCGUGUACAACAACUGAAUCUAUGCCGUAGGUGGACGAGACGACGCCACUGAACUCUCGUCAGCUGAGAGCUGCAAUCCUAACACCAACACAUGCCAUUCCCAUAUUGAUUUGUCUUAUAAUGUGGCCAUUUCGAAUGUUAUGUUAUUUUAAUUCAUUUUGCAGAGUUAUUCACAGUAUGGCAAGACUAUGCGGUGAUGCGAUACAGUAUCGCAGCCUAUGUAGAAUAUAUACGAACGAAGUAAAUUCGAAGAUUAUCUCAAGAUAACUCUUGAUGGAUUCCGACAUACCCGAGAGUGGCUGCAUUGCAAUCGAAAAGAAACUUCGCAGCACUCAGUCAGUUCCUCCAACGCUAUCACCUCGGUCGAGCGAUCCGCAAACGGGCGAAUGGAAGUUGGUUGUGCCAAUGUCCAAGCGGUGAUGCGACGUUGGUGUUGCUGUUCUUAGCGAUUUAUUGCUAUGCCUAUUUCGUUGGUGGCCAUGACGGUCAGUCGUAUAUCUAAAUAGCAAAGAACACUUCGAUCCUCAAACCAAUUUAGUCGUCUGAGGUAGCGCCCACAUGG
rnacentral:lncRNA from 1 species